UACGAAGGGGGGCUAGCGUUGCUCGGAAUGACUGGGCGUAAAGGGCGCGUAGGCGGUUCGUACAGUCAGACGUGAAAUUCCCGGGCUCAACCUGGGGGCUGCGUUUGAUACGUGCGGGCUUGAGUUCGGAAGAGGGUCGUGGAAUUCCCAGUGUAGAGGUGAAAUUCGUAGAUAUUGGGAAGAACACCGGUGGGCGAAGGCGGCGACCUGGUCCGAUGACGUGACG
rnacentral:rRNA from 1 species